GGCAGGCGUGCAGGGGCAAGGCAGGUGCGUAAGAGCGAGGCAGAUGCGCAGGUGCGCGGACCAGCCAGCCUCCAGCAUCGCCUCCUCUGGGAUCUUCUCUGACUUCCCAGUCGGUUUCAGAAGCCUCUGAUGACCCCAUGCGGAGAAGACUGCUCCCCUCACUGCUGGCACACGGCAGAUGCUCAACACUUGCUCCAGCUUCGCCUUCCGCCGCGAGUUGAAGCUCCCCGAGGCCUCCUCAGAAGCAGAAGCCACCACGCUUCCUGUACAGCCUGUGGGACCCGGAGCCAGUUCAACCUCUUUUCUUUAUAAAUUACCCAGACUCGGCCGGGCACGGUGGCUCACGCCUGUAAUCCCAGCACUUUGUUGAGACCGAGGCAGGCAGAUCACGAGGUCAGGAGAUCGAGAACAUCCUGGCUAACACGGUGAAACCCCGUCUCUACUAAAAAUACAAAAAAUUAGCCGGGCGUGGUGGCGGGCGCCUGUGGUCCCAGCUACUCGGGAGGCUGAGGCAGGAGAAUGGUGUGAACCCGGG
rnacentral:lncRNA from 10 species